rnacentral:rRNA from 1 species
CAAAGGAGCAACCGCUGAAAGAUGGACUCGCGUCCGAUUAGCCAGUUGGCGGGGUAACGGCCCACCAAAGCGACGAUCGGUAGCCGGACUGAGAGGUUGAACGGCCACAUUGGGACUGAGACACGGCCCAGACUCCUACGGGAGGCAGCAGUGGGGGAUAUUGCACAAUGGGGGAAACCCUGAUGCAGCAACGCCGCGUGAGGGAAGAAGGUUUUCGGAUUGUAAAGCUCUGUUCUUGGUGAAGAUAAUGACGGUAGCCAAGGAGAAAGCUCCGGCUAACUACGUGCCAGCAGCCGCGGUAAUACGUAGGGAGCGAGCGUUGUCCGGAUUUACUGGGUGUAAAGGGUGCGCAGGCGGCUCUGCAAGUCAGGCGUGAAAGCUGGGGGCUCAACCCCUAAACUGCGCUUGAAACUGUGGAGCUUGAGUGAAGUAGAGGCAGGCGGAAUUCCCGGUGUAGCGGUGAAAUGCGUAGAGAUCGGGAGGAACACCAGUGGCGAAGGCGGCCUGCUGGGCUUUAACUGACGCUCAGGCACGAAAGCAUGGGUAGCAAACAGGAUUAGAUACCCUGGUAGUCCAUGCCGUAAACGAUGAUUACUAGGUGUG